CCUACGGGUGGCUGCAGUGGGGAAUAUUGCACAAUGGGCGCAAGCCUGAUGCAGCCAUGCCGCGUGUGUGAAGAAGGCCUUCGGGUUGUAAAGCACUUUCAGCGGGGAGGAAGGCGUUAAGGUUAAUAACCUUGUCGAUCGACGUUACCCGCAGAAGAAGCACCGGCUAACUCCGUGCCGGCAGCCGCGGUAAUACGGAGGGUGCAAGCGUUAAUCGGAAUUACUGGGCGUAAAGCGCACGCAGGCGGUCUGUCAAGUCGGAUGUGAAAUCCCCGGGCUCAACCUGGGAACUACAUUCGAAACUGGCAGGCUAGAGUCUUGUAGAGGGGGGUAGAAUUCCAGGUGUAGCGGUGAAAUGCGUAGAGAUCUGGAGGAAUACCGGUGGCGAAGGCGGCCCCCUGGACAAAGACUGACGCUCAGGUGCGAAAGCGUGGGGAGCAAACAGGAUUAGAUACCCGUGUAGUC
rnacentral:rRNA from 1 species